rnacentral:lncRNA from 1 species
AGAGAAACUCUCAGGGAGGACAUGGAACAACAGACAAACCCAAGCUCCCACAGGAUUCCGUAAUAUUCUAUCUGAUGGGCAAGACAAAUGAUUGGCCACAUUGGAGCCUCAGCGUUCCAAGAGCCACAUAGCUCUAGUGGACCUAUGACUUCAGUGCUCAGACCAAUACCCAAGACAAACACAAGAAAGUUGGACACAAGCACAACAGUGACUGCUUCAACUUUACAUUGGAGAAGUAACAUUCCUUCAAAGCUGGCUGCUAUGAAAGGCACGAGAAACUCAAAGAAAGCAGUGAACAUCAUAAAUUCUACCAGUUCUACUCCUGAUGUAACAUUUGGGUCAGUUUUACUUAAAACCACAUUGUCCACAAAGAUCCCUGAAACAACAGGGAAGAGCACUGGUUAUCCUUCAAUGACUACAUCUAAUUUUACCAGGACUGAGACACAUAAUGGAACUGCAUUAAAUAGUACUCUUCUAUCAGACACAUCUACCACUGUAACUGUGGCAGAAACUAACAUAACUGAGAUUAUUUCAACCACAGAACAUACUCCUAAUUUUACCGAAGUGCCCUUUACUAAUUCUGUUCUUGUUGUCCAAAAUCUCACAGAUGACCUCUGUUUCCUCAGUCACAAAAGGAAACAAGAAAAAUGGAAGCUCAACACCCAAACUCAAACACACCAUUAUCCCUACACCAAUCUCAUCUGAACAUGAAUAUUUCACAACAAUUCUUGCCAGAUCAGAAGACACCACACUUUCAUCUCCACAGUCAAUUUCCUUUACAACAGCAGAGAUUGGAAAACCGACAGAUUCCUCCUUGAUGAAAGCAUGGAAAAGUUCCAGUAAAUAUGAAGACAUACAUUCAACAAAAGAACACAGAAUUAGCCAGACUAAUGUACCCACAACUCUUUCUCUUGUCACAUCUGUGGCAAAAGAUAUAUCUGCUGGCAGUACAUUCCUUUCCAAGUUACACCAUUCAAUAUCAGAGGACACUUCCACUGGAAUCUCCACCAAGUACUCAAGAUCUACAACCACCACAGAAUCAGAACAGACUGCAACCAGCCACAGAGAACAUACUGUGGUGACAUCAAACAUGUGUCCACUAGCACAUACCCUGGAAUUUGAAAUGGAAGAUGGCAUGCAAUACCACACAGACAUAUCUAAUGGAGCUGUCCAUGGAGACACUGCAGGCCUGGGCAAGGGUUCUCUGGCUUCUACAUCAUCUGCUAACCAUAAAGAUCUAACCACAGAGGGGACAGUAAAAGCAGACACUACUACCAGAGCUCUGAAGGCCUCUUCCAUUUUCACUCCAAACACCAAAAUGUCAACUACAAUUUCAACACCCCCGACUCACAUCAAGACAUCAAAGAAAACAACCAACAUCAACACAACAGAGAUGAUUAUCACAGCCUCAGAUGCUUCCCACAACUUACUAGAGAUGGCACCAUCAUUUUCCACAGGCCUUAGAGAAAAUAUUAGCAUGGUUGCCAGGACAAGCCCAUCUUCUUACAGUAGAAAACCAGAAAUUACAAUCCCCCAGAUUCCCAGUCUUAAGACAAAGACCAUCCCAAAUGUUAAUACUUUGACAGUCUCCUCUGCUGAGUCUGAUACAAUCUCAUGGAUUACCCAUGCUUUAGAGAUUACUUCAGCUAUUGCCAAGACAACCAAAAAUGCUUCAGAUGUAACAGAAAUAAUGAGACCACUGUUCACAAGCUCUGGGAGAAGAAU